CCUACGGGUGGCAGCAGUGAGGAAUAUUGGUCAAUGGUCGGGAGACUGAACCAGCCAAGCCGCGUGAGGGAGGAAGGUACAGAGUAUCGUAAACCUCUUUUGUCAGGGGACAAAGGCGUGGACGUGUCCCCGGAUGAGUGUACCUGAAGAAAAAGCAUCGGCUAACUCCGUGCCAGCAGCCGCGGUAAUAGGGAGGAUGCGAGCGUUAUCCGGAUUUAUUGGGUUUAAAGGGUGCGCAGGCGGUCUGUUAAGUCAGCGGUCAAAGCCCGGGGCUCAACCCCGGCCCGCCGUUGAAACUGGCAGGCUCGAGUUGGAGAGAAGUAUGCGGAAUGCGAGGUGUAGCGGUGAAAUGCAUAGAUAUCGCGCAGAACUCCGAUUGCGAAGGCAGCAUGCUGGCUCCACACUGACGCUGAGGCACGAAAGCGUGGGUAUCGAACAGGAUUAGAUACCCUAGUAGUC
rnacentral:rRNA from 1 species